rnacentral:tmRNA from 1 species
GGGGAUGUAAUGGUUUCGACAGUAUUAUUUUCGCAUAGAUGGCAAGUCGAAUGUUCACGUUACGAGCACAAAAAAAUAAACGCAAAUAAAAUUAAAAAUGCUGUAGCAGGAUUAUUUGGUGGAAACCAAGCUCUUGCUUUUGCCUAAUAUAAUAUAGAGGUCGGCGUCUCUACUAUUCUUACCUAGUGAAUAGAUAGGGAUUCAUUUUUAUAGGUUAUGUCUACUUUUUGCCUAGGAAGUAGAAAGAAUUAAUUGGCUGGUACAUUUAUUUUGUCGUUAACUACUUGAUAGAUGUAUGAGAAUAUUUAGUUAACUAAACUUGUAGAGGUUUAUGUAGAGGUAAUAUUGGACAGGAGUUCGAUUCUCCUCAUCUCCACCA